rnacentral:rRNA from 1 species
UGUGAAAGGUCCUGGCUCAACCAGGGACGUGCGUCCCAUACUGUGGGGCUUGAGUACAGGAGAGGAUGGGGGAAUUCCCGGUGUAGCGGUGAAAUGCAUUGAUAUCGGGAGGAACACCAGUGGCGAAGGCGCCCAUCUGGCCUGUUACUGACGCUCAGGCGCGAAAGCUGGGGGAGCAAACAGGAUUAGAUACCCUGGUAGUCCCAGCCGUAAACGGUGAACACUAGGUGUGGGGGGCAUCGACCCCUUCCGUGCCGCAGCUAACGCAUUAAGUGUUCCGCCUGGGGAGUACGACCGCAAGGUUGAAACUCAAAGGAAUUGGCGGGGCCCCGCACAAGCGGUGGAGCAUGUGGCUUAAUUCGAUGCAACGCGAAGAACCUUACCUGGGCUUGACAUGCACUGGACCGGGACAGAGAUGUCCCUUCCCUUCGGGGCCGGUGCACAGGUGCUGCAUGGCUGUCGUCAGCUCGUGUCGUGAGAUGUUCGGUUAAGUCCGGCAACGAGCGCAACCCCUGUCCUUAGUUGCCAGCAUUCAGUUGGGGACUCUAAGGAGACAACCCUGCUUAGCAGGGGGGAAGGUGGGGAUGACGUCAAGUCCGCAUGGCCCUGACGCCUGGGGCGACACACACGCUACAAUGGCCGGCACAAUGCGCUGCAAGACCGUAAGGUGGAGCUAAUCGCCAAAGCCGGUCCCAGUUC